rnacentral:rRNA from 1 species
GUGUCAGCCGCCGCGGUAAUACGGAGGGGGCGAGCGUUAUUCGGAAUUAUUGGGCGUAAAGGGCGCGUAGGCGGCUAGAUGUGUCAAAGGUGAAAUCCCUCGGCUCAACUGAGGAACUGCCUUUGAAACUGUCUGGCUUGAGGCCGGGAGAGGGUAGCGGAAUUCCCAGUGUAGCGGUGAAAUGCGUAGAUAUUGGGAGGAACACCAGUGGCGAAGGCGGCUACCUGGACCGGUUCUGACGCUGAGGCGCGAAAGCGUGGGUAGCAAACAGGAUUAGAUACCCCUGUAGUCC